AGCUACCUCUACCUCCCCUGUCAAGCUGAGGCAGACCCCUCGUCUCGGGGGUUUCCACCAUGUUGGCCCAAGUGCACAGUUCUUUGUGCCUCUUCCCUCCUCCCUACAUCCCUGGGGAAAUUCAGUAAAUUUCAUCAAAAGCUGACCUUGCUGGAGAUGGAUCACACAGGUCCAUUUCCUACAUUCAGAAGGCCUGGCAGACAAUUAAAAUGGAUUGGCACAACAGAAAUUCUUAUAAAGCCAUAUACAGACAAAAAGAGGAGAAAAAUGCAAAUUGGAAUCCUUUGGAGAUGCUUUCAAGAUGUAGAACCCUUACAUGUGAAGUACCCCAAAUGAAGUUGGAGCAUCCACAUUGAAAUCACUUCAUGUUAUGGGCCUCCCUUGCAGUCCAGACAGAAAUCCAGAGUGUUGCCCACGGCAAGAAUAGUCAGUGAUGGGAGAAAGAACCAAAGAGGUUGAUCCCCUAGUCUGAUAGCAAACUAGCACUGCUUUAACCACUCUGGCUCUGGAGAUCCAAUAAAUUUUUUCUGGGACAGAUAGUGCCUGACACAACUGCUGAAAUCGAGGGUACGAUAAACCUUUGGAUGUUUUCCACGCACAAAAGGAUGAAAAGGUUAAGGAAUUGCUUGUAUAUGUGUGUCCGGGCACCUAUCUUGUUACGUUUUCUGUGGCAAAAUAAAUAAAUAAAUC